UCUUAAAUAUUGUUCUCUUGCUAAAUUUCUUAUAUUUGCAUUUCAUAGUAAUUUGGAAACAAGUUAUAGUGUCCGUACAUUUCACCAACGUCUACAAAGAAAUUUAAAUCCUGAAUUUCUGGAUGUAAUCUUUCCAAAUUGUAGUAUCAUGUUUGCCAAAAGUCAAUGCAAACUGAUCUGUUCAAGUUUCUUGUACGACUCUGGAUUUGAUGAUGAUGGGAUAAAUUUUAUGUCAUUGCUGGUUUCAACUUUCCAUUAACCAUAUUGAAAUUAGGGUUUUUUACUCUAGGGGCAUUUUUGUCUUUUUCAUUGUAUCCUAGGGUUUCCCUUUUUUCUAUUUAAGCUGGUGGUCACAUUGUAUUCAGUGUAUCAGUUUUCUAAUAAGAAUCCUUUUAUCCCGUGGUUUUUUCUCCCUGAUUAGGGUUUUCCACGUAAAUCUUGGUGUGCUAUUUUUCUUUCUCUAUUCUGUUUUUCAUCAUAGUAUCAGAGCAUGGAGACAAAACCUUGGCCACCAUUGAGGAAAAUCCAAUAGGAGAAUCCCAAACCAAUAAUCUAGAUAUAACCAGUAUUAUCCAAAAAGCCAUUGAUAGAUAUUUUCAAUCUCUUCUUCCUUACUUUCAAUGUGAUGACCACCAAACCCAUUCCGACGAGCCAGUUGCGACCAAAUCGACGACUAGAUCCAGUCCCCAGCCGCAACCAGCCACGAACAGACCAAUCGCGACCAGAUCCAGUCGCCAGUCACAAUCAGCCGCGACCAGGCUAGCCACGACCAGAUUGGCGCCACGAUAGGUGCUACCCAGUCACGACCGGCGCCCAACUCUUCACGCCUGAUGCCGUCCCAGGUCUUCGGCGCCCAGAUCUUCACCGGCGCUUCGUCUCAGUCGCCGGCGAUGCCCUGUUCCUCGAACCAUACCCACUUUGUCUCUCAGCCGAACCAGAAAACCGACGACAGAUUUGUGGGUUUUUCUCAGCCUAAUAUGAGCAAUAGAUUGGGGCUGUUUUCGCCAGUCAUGGGUGAAUUUGGAGGGGGAGAUUCUUCAUCUUACCACCAGGACCAAGGGAGUAUAAUCCAGGAUCAAGUUUCUCAGUUGCAGCUGGAGAUUAAACGACAAAACGAGAUGUUCCAACAGCAGAUAGUUGCUAUUGGGGAAGCCCUGGGAUCGACAUCUAAUAUCAAACUAGAUCCAAAUCAAUAUUCUGAAAAUUCGGUGACUUCGUUCCCUACUUACUCCUCAAAUUUUUGUUCUGGAGCUAUAGGCAACUCUUCUAGCUUUAUUAUAGGAGAAAAGUUGUUACUUCUCUUGGUCCCAAUCCAUUAAAAUGACCCUCGAGGGUCGUCACAAAUUUGGAUAUUUGACAGAUGAAGUACCAAAACCAAGGAUAGGUGAUCCCCAAGAGCGAAUUUGGAAAGGAGAAGAUUCUUUGUUGAGAUCAAUUUUGAUUGGAAGUAUGGAACCUCAGGUUGGAAAACCCUUAUUAUAUGCAGCCAUAACCCGUGAUAUUUGGGAGGCAGCCCAAAAACUCUACUCCAGGAGACAGAAUGUCUCUCGUUUAUAUCCCUUACGUAAGCAGGUCCAUGAAUGCAAAUAGGGGACAAUGGACGUUACUGCUUACUUUAAUAAACUGUCUCUCUUGUGGCAAGAGAUGGAUUUGUGCCGUGAAAUGAUUUGGAACUGUCCUUGUGGAGGAGUUUUACAUUAUUAGUCUGAGAAAACUGACUGCAUGUUUGACUUUCUUGCCAGACUCAACUCUAAAUUUGAUACUAUGCGAAGCUAUAUAUUGGGGACCAGACCUCCCUAAUGGAAGUCUGUUCUGAAGUUCGCCUGGAGGAAUGUAGGUUGAGGGCCAUGAACAGUACACCUGUAACACCAACAGAUUCCGCUGCUUUCAAAACAUCAGGCCCUGUCCAAGAUAAGCAGAUCAGUAAGCCGCCCCCAAUGUGUGAACAUUGCAAGAAACCCUGGCACAUGAAAGAUCAGUGCUGGAAACUUCACGGCUGACUGCCAAAUGGUAAGAAACGAUAGCCAAGCCGGGCUCUUGUAGGUGAAUCUAUUAUUGGAGAUACUCAACCUCAGAAUCAGAAAACCACUUAGAGCACUACUACUACAGUGGGAGUAAGUGCAAUCGCUUAAUCAGGAUCUGAACUCGGGGAUGACGAUUGGCAUUGCCCAGCAUGACAGGGGACUCUAUUUCCUCAUUGAAAAAGCCUCAUUUAGGAUAUGUGAUAGGACUAGUUUGUUUUCUUCUCAUUUUUCUAUGUCUGAAAUUGAUUAUAUGUUAUGGCACUAUCGCCUAGGCCAUCCUAAUUUCCAGUAUAUAAAUUAUUUGUUUCCUCCUCUGUUUCACAAUAUUAAUAUUUCUAAGUUGAAAUGCGAUGUGUGUGUCCAAACCAAAUAGCCUCGUGUUUCUUUCACGUCUCAACCUUAUAAGCCCUCUAAACCUUUCACCCUGUUCCAUAGUGAUGUUUGGGGUCUGUCACCUGUUACUACCAUAACUGGGAAGCGUUGGUUUAUAACCUUUAUUGACGAUCAUACUAGACUAACUUGGGUCUUUCUUCUAAUAGACAAAUCCGAAGUUACUUCGGUCUUCCAACAAUUCUACAAUUCUAUCGAAACCCAGUUCAACGCCAAAAUCGCUAUUCUCCGGAGUGAUAAUGGUCGAGAAUACCUUAAUAACACCUUACGAGAAUUCUUAAUCUCAAAAGGAGUUGUCCAUCAGAGUUCCUGUGCAUACACCCCUCAACAAAAUGGAAGCCUUUAUAUGGGUUAAAAUAGUCCCCAAGGGCUUGGUUUGGCAGGUUUACUAUGUUUGUGAAGUCGCAAGGGUAUACACAGGGUCAUUCUGAUUAUACUCUUUUCACUAUAAAAGGUCAGUAUCCGGGAAGAUUGCAGUUUUGAUUGUUUAUGUUGAUGACAUUGUUAUUUCAGGCAAUGAUGCCUCAGAGAUUGACCGAUUGAAGGCAAAGAUGGCUGAGGAAUUCGAAAUCAAGGAUCUUGGAAAACUAAGAUACUUCCUUGGAAUGGAAAUAGCUCGAUCGAAAGAAGGAAUUUCAGUUUCCCAACAGAAGUAUACUCUGGACUUGCUUAAGGAAACACGUAUGACAAGUUGCAAACCAGUUGACUCUCCUAUAGAAGUAAAUGCAAAGUUAAGUAAUAUGAGUAAAGGUGUUCCAGUUAGUUAAGAAAGAUAUCAACGACUUGUUGGGAAAUUAAUAUAUCUCUCUCACACUAGGCCCGACAUCUCAUAUGCAGUGAGUAUGGUAAGUCAGUUUAUGCAGUCUCCAUAUGAAGAACAUAUGAGGGCAGUGGAACACAUUUUGAGAUAUCUGAAAACCUCUCCAGGGAAAGGUUUGAUGUUUAGGAAAGCUGAAAGACGAUGCAUCGAUGCUUACAUCGAUGCUGAUUGGGCAGGAUCAGUGGUAGAUAGAAAAUCGACGUCAGGGUAUUGUACCUUUGUGUGGGGUAGUCUUGUUACAUGGAGAAGUAAAAAACAAGGUGUUGUUGCCAAAAGCAGUGCCGAGGCUGAGUACAGGGCCAUGAGUCUGGGAAUCUGUGAAGAAAUUUGGUUUGAAAAAAUUUUAAAAGACCUUGAUCAAAAGCAUACUGGUCCAAUGAAACUCUACUGUGAUAAUAAAGCUGCAAUAAGCAUAGCAAAUAACCUAGUUCAACAUGACAAAACAAAGCAUGUGGAGAUUGAUCGACAUUUCAUCAAGGAAAGACUUGAUAGUGGCAAUAUUUGUAUUCCUUAUAUUUCUUCCAAUCAACAGAUUGCAGAUGUCCUAACAAAGGGACUGCCCAGACAGCUGUUUGAUGCAUGUGUGAGCAAGUUGGGUCUUAUUGACAUCUACGCUCCAACUUGAGGAGGAGUGUUGAAAUUAGAGUUUUUUUUACUCUAAGGGCAUUUUUGUCUUUUUCAUUGUACCCUAGGGUUUCCAUUUUUUCUAUUUAAGCUGGUAGUCACAUUGUAUUCAGUGUAUCAGUUUUCUAAUAAGAAUCCUUUUAUUCCGUGAUUUUUUCUC